ACCCGUACAAGCAGCGGAGCGUGUGGUUUAAUUCGUUGCUACACGAGAACCUUACCUGGGUUUGACAUAUAGGUUGUAGGGAACUGAAAAGGGACCGACCCUUCGGGGAGCCUAUACAGGUGUUGCAUGGCUGUCGUCAGCUCGUGUCGUGAGAUGUUCGGUUAAGUCCGCUAACGAGCGCAACCCUCGUCGUAUGUUAUAUGUGUCAUACGAGACUGCCGGUAAAAGCCGGAGGAAGGUGAGGAUGAUGUCAAGUCAGCAUGACCUUUAUAUCCAGGGCUACACACACGCUACAAUGGUCUGUACAAUGGGUAGCCAAGCCGCGAGGCGGAGCCAAUCCUGAAAGCAGGCCUCAGUUCAGAUUGCAGUCUGCAACUCGACUGCAUGAAGCCGGAGUUGCUAGUAACCGCAGGUCAGCAAUACUGCGGUGAAUACGUUCCCGGGUCUU
rnacentral:rRNA from 1 species